rnacentral:lncRNA from 1 species
UUAUUAUUAUUAUUAUUAUUAUUAUUAUUAUUUAUAUUCUGCCCCACACGGUAUUUCCUAUCUAUGUUACACCCAGCCAGCCAGCCAGCCAGUAUCCCACCGAGGCUGUUCAGCAAUAGUUGACAAAUACAACGUAACUCUGAUUCCAGCUUCUUCAACUUCAACACAUAUCACUGUGUCUUUCCUGCAGACACUCAGAAUUGAACCCACACGUUUGCAAAACAACAUUCUGGUGUGUAUGGGUCCCACCAUAAUUCCAACACUAGACUAGUAGUGCUAUAACAAAAGUGUUAGUAGUAGCCCUUUAAGUCUUUGCCCCACUCAAAGCAAUGGCAUCAACCCAAGGAACAUAUAUUUCUCCUCCUUUUUCCUUCUCUGUUUCACAUCUCUAUUCUGAAAAUCUGCUUCUAUCCAGUUAGUUCCUCAUGCUUACUAUCAUUUUCACAUCUGGAUCACCAAUCCCUACUUGUUGAACACUGCCAAUCAUAAAUAAAUUCGGACACAACAUGCCAAAUGGUUCCUCCAUUCCAAGUCGUUGAGUCCAUAUUUGGGUCUCUGCAAAACUAAAACCUGCUCGUAUUAAUUGCUGCAGGCAGAUGAAAUAUUAACGAAAUUAAAUACAAACUGGGUAGCUAGCCUAUGUGGAUCAGAGGCCACUCAGCCAACUGGGUCCAUAGGUUUUUACUAGCUACGAAUGAUAGACAAAAGUUAUAUCCUUUACCAACUCAAUCAUUCCCUGAGACCAAACGUCAACUAAAAAUAUUGAACCUAAGCAACAGAAAAUGAAGCAGUCGUAUCCAACUGCUACUUAGGCAGGGGAAGACACACAAGGUUCCACUUACUAUUAUGCACAGACUUGACGGUAAUUUUCUUUUUUGGGGGGUAGAAAAGAAAUGUAAGAUUUUGCAAUGUGACAUCAAUAACUAAAUUGUCAUGCUUGUCUCUACAAAGUCUAGAUAUGCUUGUUAAGUUAAGUUCCGCUUGACCACUUUUUGUAGAUUAAUAUCAGAUAAGCCACACAUCUUCAUACAGUAAAAGACUGAAGACAACAAAGUCACUUUACGUCCUUAAGAGGAAAAAGUCCACUUCUACGUGAUUACUUUUAGCAAUUAGUUCAGACUAAUGGAUAUUUUACAAAGACUAGAACUCCAUUAGUCAAUGAAAGAAUCACCCUAAAUAAGUGCUCAGGCAGAUCAAAGGGCCAGCCGUUCAGACUAAAGGAAAUUCUAUAAAGAUCAAACUAAGAGUCAUCCUGACAAGAAGACAAAGCUUCUGCAAUCCCAGAAACUAUGAACCAGCGUUACCGUGCGAAUACAAAUCCAAAGUUCCCACACAACAGUACGAUCUUUUUACUUUAUAAUAACAAACCGGUCACAGUUAGCUCUAGAGUCGAGAGUUUAAUAGCAAACAAUUACAAUGAUAUCACAGUGGGAGAAGUUGUAUAAUAACGACAAUCACGUUUGUAAUGCAACUGCUGAUAACUUGAAUCUGAGAUGUGCAGGAUUGAUUACUGGAAACCAAAAAGAACUAUCAACCUUUGUUUGUUACGUAAGGAAACCAGCACUUGAAGGGGGCAGCAGCUGCUCCAAAUGAAGUACAAAGCACUAGACAGAGCAACAUCAGACAACACAAAAAUAUUAACCAUACCUGGCUUGCUUGAAUCUUAGUAAGUAUGUAAGGCCAGCAACUAAGGUGUUUGAGCGUUAGAAAUGCUUCAAUCCAAUUCGUCUGCCACGCAUUGGCCAGAGAAUUGCCCCCAUGGACGACAAUAUUGGCCUCCCUGAUAAGCAUUAGCCAAUUAUACAUUAUAAUCCUAUUGCAGUCGUACUGACAAAAACAAAAUAGACAUAUGCCACUGAAUUAUAAGGGCCAAAAUAAUUGAAGAAACAGGACGUAGGAACUGAUAAGAAGUGCCACUUAGUCUAAAAUAUACUCAUGACGAAUUAUAAUUUUGGGAAAACUGCUCAAACUCACUGGACAUGGAGGACCAGCGACUACUUUGCAACUCUAGAGAUAUUGUAUCAAGUAAUCACUCUGACUAACAAAUUCUAGAUUAUUCUAAAUGCAGAAAGCAUGAACUAUUUGCUUCUUUUUGCAGUUCCAAAGACCUGAAAUACAACUUUUCAAAUUCUCACCCCCUAGACACCUAAACUUAAAAACGGGGAGCACUGUAUAAGAAACUAAAGUAUUUUCUUGAUCUGUUACAGAAUGAUGACAAUUUACAAAAAACGAUUCAGGACACAGAACGUGUGACAUAUAAUUCACGGGGUUGCUAUGUUUUAACACUUCACCAUACCUGCAAUUGGUAGAGAUUCUACCACCAAGUUCCAGUUCUAUCUUGAUUCAUGGAGUAACACCAGGCAGCAUCACUGAACAAAGUCAGCAUCUGAGCUAGAGAUUAAAGAACAAAGGGACAAGAGAGUUAAUGUGCAAUUGAUAUAGAAAUGAUAAUAGAUGCUAGAAAUAAGAGGGCAAACCUAUCAUGCCUUUUAUCACAAUGACCUCAAACGCAACGUGCCUGAGAGGCGUGCACUGCAGCCAUCAUGCUUUAUGAGCAGUUACCAAGUUCAAAUAGAAGAUUUUGAAUGGAUGGCAUCAAUGAGUGUUGAAUUACAGAAAUAACUAGGAUAUUAUUAGGCGUAUAAUUUAGAGUAAUCUAGCUAUCCUAUAGAAUCAGUCUAGCUUGAUUUAUGCAGUAUAUUCAUAGUAAGUGGUAGGUAGAAUAAAUCCCUGAUUUGUAGGGAUUACUACGAGCUGGAUCUGCAUCCUAAUGAUGCAGACUGUGUAUAUAUGUAAAGGAAACCACAGAAAUAAUAAUCAUCAUACCAGAAUCAUUCUGAUUUCUGGAAUUCUGCAUGGUAUCAGAGUUUAGAUUCAGACCUUGAAUCCAGCUCCAUCUACCUUCCUUCUUCUAUCUCUCUCAUUCUCAUCUGAUGGCGAACACGAACGAUGAAGUUCAAGUCCCAUCCUCGCCAUCUGUAACUUCAGGAGAUCCCUCCCAGAAGCACUCAAACCCAGCAGCCUCAUCAGAUACAGUCCUGGGCUGUAUCACAAAUCAUCGCCUCAACGGAGAUAACUAUCUCCAAUGGUCCUCGUCAGUACUGAAGUUUAUCUCAGGCAAGGGGAAAAGAGGCUACCUAACUGGAAAGACCAAGCAGCCAGCAGAGGAUGACCCAGAAUUUAUCAACUGGGAUAUUGAGGACAAUAUGGUCCAGUCGUGGCUUCUGAAUUCAAUGACCACGCCCAUUGGUGAAAAAUUUCUUCUUCACCAAACUGCCCAUGAGAUCUGGGAUGGAGCUAGGCAUACAUACUCCAAUCAGGCAAACAAGGCUGAAGCUUUUGAGGUGGAGAUGCGACUCCAUGAUCUCAAACAAGGGGAAAAGUCAGUUACUCAGUACUAUGACGAACUGAGCAAAUGCUGGCUGCAGCAGGAUCUGUACGACGUACACCUAUGGAAGUGUACAGAAGAUGCAGAACUGUAUCGUCAAAUCCUUCAGACCAAACGGACCAUCCGUUUCCUCCUGGGACUGAAUCAGGCCCUCGAUGAGGCCAAGGGAAGGAUCAUGGGCCGUCUUCCUCUUCCAUCAGUCAGGGAGGCGUUCGCUGAAAUCAAAUGGGAAGAGAGCAGGAGGAAGCUCAUGAUCCCUGAGUCUAAAAGCAUUCCAGUGGAGGGUUCUGCCCUGGCCACUCACUACACUGGAAAUCAAGGGAACGCUUACACCAAGUCUGGAAAGCUGCAACCACAGUGU